rnacentral:misc_RNA from 1 species
AGUGCAUUAGAGAACCGAGAAGCCGGCAAUUUGGACUGUAUUGGCAUCCACAAAAUACCGGUCAACCGCCCCUCCUAUAAUUCUCUAGAGCUUGGGAUAGUUACAUAGAAAAAAAAACCAGGCCUCAUCGAUAAGAGACAGACAAGAACAACAGCAACAGACCAUGACAAAGCUUCAAGCAAACUCUUUGUUCCUUUUUCAUGGCCAAGAUCGUUCGUGAAAAGAUGACACAGCUUUGUCGGAAGAUUAAUGUUCAUGUAAAUAUCAAGUGGAGUAUACUCGAACGUGUAUCGGUUUUUAGACAGUUUUUUCAGUUCAUUUGGGAUAGGAUUCUCGCUUGCUCUAUAGGGAAGCCUGUUAGGUAUCGCCGGCUCACUCGCCGGCCUUCUUCUCCAACGCCGGAGUUAAUUGAAGACGGUGGGUUGGAGUCAUCGGAGGAACCCACCACCACGUUUUGUGGGUAUAGCACGGAUUCGGAUUUAGUCACUUUGAAGAUCAGUUUGUUGGGUGAUUGCCAAAUUGGAAAAACAAGCUUUGUGAUCAAGUAUGUGGGAGAUGAGCAGGAAAAGAAAUGCUUGCAGAUGACAGGAUUGAAUUUAAUGGAUAAAACAUUACUGGUUCAAGGUGCCAGGAUUACAUUUAGCAUAUGGGAUGUAGGGGGUGACAGUAACUCACUUGAUCAUGUUCCUAUUGCCUGUAAAGAUGCAGUAGCAAUUUUGUUCAUGUUUGAUCUUACUAGUCGGUGUACUCUUAACAGUGUUACUGAAUGGUAUAGUCAAGCCAGAAAAUGGAAUCAGACGGCGAUUCCCAUAUUAAUAGGAACCAAGUUUGACGAUUUCGUCCGGCUUCCCCACAAUUUGCAGUGGCCAAUAGUGACUCAGGCAAGGGCAUAUGCCAAG